rnacentral:rRNA from 1 species
CUGGGCUUAAAUGUAGACUGACAGAUUGGGAAACCUGUCCUUCUUCGGACAGUUUACAAGGUGCUGCAUGGUUGUCGUCAGCUCGUGCCGUGAGGUGUCGGGUUAAGUCCCAUAACGAGCGCAACCCCUAUUCUUAGUUGCCAGCGGUUCGGCCGGGGACUCUAAGAAAACUGCCCGCGCAAGCGGUGAGGAAGGUGGGGAUGACGUCAAAUCAUCACGGCCCUUACGUCCAGGGCUACACACGUGCUACAAUGGUGUUGACAAAGGGCAGCUACACUGCGAAGUGAUGCUAAUCUCUAAACAACAUCUCAGUUCGGAUCGCAGUCUGCAACUCGACUGCGUGAAGCUGGAAUCGCUAGUAAUCGCGCAUCAGCCAUGGCGCGGUGAAUACGUUCCC